rnacentral:rRNA from 1 species
ACGCUAGCGAUAGGCUUAACACAUGCAAGUCGAGGGGCAGCAUGGUCUUAGCUUGCUAAGACUGAUGGCGACCGGUGCACGGGUGCGUAACGCGUAUGCAACUUGCCUCACAGAGGGGGAUAACCCGUCGAAAGACGGACUAAUACCGCGUACACUCUAUGUUGGGCAUCCAAUGUAGAGGAAAUGAACUUCGCUGUGAGAUAGGCAUGCGUCCCAUUAGCUAGUUGGUGAGGUAACGGCUCACCAAGGCGACGAUGGGUAGGGGAACUGAGAGGUUGAACCCCCACACUGGUACUGAGACGCGGACCAGACUCCUACGGGAGGCAGCAGUGAGGAAUAUCGGUCAAUGGGCGAGAGCCUGAACCAGCCAAGUCGCGUGAAGGAUGACUGUCUUAUGGAUUGUAAACUUCUUUUAUACGGGAAUAACAAGAGUCACGUGUGACUCCCUGCAUGUACCGUAUGAAUAAGCAUCGGCUAACUCCGUGCCAGCAGCCGCGGUAAUACGGAGGAUGCGAGCGUUAUCCGGAUUUAUUGGGUUUAAAGGGUGCGUAGGCGGCCUGUUAAGUCAGCGGUGAAAUCUAGGAGCUUAACUCCUAAAUUGCCAUUGAUACUGGCGGGCUUGAGUGUAGAUGAGGUAGGCGGAAUGCGUGGUGUAGCGGUGGAAUGCAUAGAUAUCACGCAGAACUCCGAUUGCGAAGGCAGCUUACUAAGGUACAACUGACGCUGAAGCACGAAAGCGUGGGUAUCAAACAGGAUUAGAUACCCUGGUAGUCCACGCAGUAAACGAUGAUAACUGGGCGUAUGCGAUAUACAGUAUGCUCCUAAGCGAAAGCGUUAAGUUAUCCACCUGGGGAGUACGCCGGCAACGGUGAAACUCAAAGGAAUUGACGGGGGCCCGCACAAGCGGAGG